GGAGAGGGGGUGGCGUUGAACCCAAAGCAAAACGAUACUGAUCCCAAGUCCCUGAUCGUAUCGUACAAAACUCACCAUUUGUCACCUUCCUCACUGGUCAAUGCUUUAAUUUGACCUAACAAGUUACAAGUCCCUCUCUCUUGCAUGCAGUUGCAAUUUUUGCCAGCAUUCUUUUCUUUCAAUUCUCUUUCAUAUUCUUGGUAUAUCUAUAUGUCCUUGUGUUUGAAACUGAUCAGAUCAAAGUUUUUGGUUUUUUUUUUCAUCUUGCGCAAGGAAGACUUAAAGGUAUGGAGUUUGUUUUAGUAUCAUCCGUCUUGUCGAGGACGGGCUAGCCAGAGAGAACUUAGAGCUUGGAGACGGUGAAAGUACUCAGCAACUGCUAGAAGACACCGUGCUUCUUGACGUGUCGUCAACAAUUGGUUCAGCCUAUGGAUCGUUUGGUGCCUCAAAUUGUCCGCCUAAGAAGGAGGUGGCUCUAUGUGCAUCGGCUGAGAUGGGAAGAUGUUGAGCGUCGAUGUUGGAGGUCUCAUCGCCAAAUUCUCUGCCAUAAUUAAAGAUUCAUAUAUAGAUGAGUCGUCAUGAAAUGUUUUGGAAGUGGUCUGGUUAUAUAUAACAAGUUACUUAUAAAUAAGUGAGUGGACUAGUUCUAAUUAGAAAAACAAGAAAGAGAAAAGGGUUUAAAAGAAGAAGAGAGUUUAGAAGUUUGUAAGGAAGAUUUGAUGUCUGAAAAGAGAAAAAAGAUAGAGAGGAUCUGGUCAAAGCUGAAAGUAGAGUACUGAUGGCAGAAGAAAGAUUGAAAUCUGUUGGGCAUGCUUUUGCUGUGACCCUCUCUCUCUCUCUCUCUCUAGAAGGGAAUCUUCCUAAUCUGCUGAAACCAAAAAACCAAACCCCUAUUCCCAAAAAAAGAA